rnacentral:rRNA from 1 species
GCAUAUCAAUAAGCGGAGGAAAAGAAAAUAACAAUGAUUCCCCCAGUAACUGCGAGUGAAAGAGGGACAAGCUCAAAUUUUAAAUCUGUCGGGUUCUCCUGACCGAGUUGUAAUUUGAAGAAGCGUUUUUCCGUGCCGUUUGAUCAGCCCAAGUCUUAUUGAAAUGAGGGCAUCAUGGAGGGUGAUAAUCCCGUUCGGUUGAUCAAUUGUGCUUUAUGAUACGCUUUCAAAGAGUCAAGUUGUUUGGGAUUGCAGCUUAAAAUGGGAGGUAAAUUUCUCCUAAGGCUAAAUAUUGGCGAGAGACCGAUAGCGAACAAGUUCCGUGAGGGAAAGAUGAAAAGAACUUUGAAAAGAGAGUUAAACAGUACGUGAAAUUGUUGAAAGGGAAACGAUUGAAGCCAGUCGUACCGGCGGGUAAUCAGCCUUUCGGGUAUGAUUCUGUGGAGCGUGAGGAGUUAAACGCCUUCAUGCCUGCAUAUUCGUGCUCUUGGGUGUACUUGCUCGUGUGGUUGGUUAACAUCAAUUUCGGAUAUCAUAAAAUGGCUGGAGGAAUGUAGCUUCGAUUUCGAUUGAAGUGUUAUAGCCUUCGGCAGAUGUGAUGAUCGGGAUUGAGGAUUGCAACGGAUACCCUUCGGGGCUACCUGUCUGAUCUCUGAUCGUUGCUUUGGUGCCGAAAGCGUGCUUACGGUUAUCAAAGUCGAUGGUUAAUAGGUUAGAACGGGUUAAAUUCGUUAAGGAUGUUGACGUA